rnacentral:rRNA from 1 species
GCAAGUCGAGCGGACCGACGGGAGCUUGCUCCCUUAGGUCAGCGGCGGACGGGUGAGUAACACGUGGGUAACCUGCCUGUAAGACUGGGAUAACUCCGGGAAACCGGGGCUAAUACCGGAUGCUUGAUUGAACCGCAUGGUUCAAUCAUAAAAGGUGGCUUUUAGCUACCACUUACAGAUGGACCCGCGGCGCAUUAGCUAGUUGGUGAGGUAACGGCUCACCAAGGCGACGAUGCGUAGCCGACCUGAGAGGGUGAUCGGCCACACUGGGACUGAGACACGGCCCAGACUCCUACGGGAGGCAGCAGUAGGGAAUCUUCCGCAAUGGACGAAAGUCUGACGGAGCAACGCCGCGUGAGUGAUGAAGGUUUUCGGAUCGUAAAACUCUGUUGUUAGGGAAGAACAAGUACCGUUCGAAUAGGGCGGUACCUUGACGGUACCUAACCAGAAAGCCACGGCUAACUACGUGCCAGCAGCCGCGGUAAUACGUAGGUGGCAAGCGUUGUCCGGAAUUAUUGGGCGUAAAGCGCGCGCAGGCGGUUUCUUAAGUCUGAUGUGAAAGCCCCCGGCUCCACCGGGGAGGGUUAUUGGAAACUGGGGAACUUGAGUGCAGAAGAGGAGAGUGGAAUUCCACGUGUAGCGGUGAAAUGCGUAGAGAUGUGGAGGAACACCAGUGGCGAAGGCGACUCUCUGGUCUGUAACUG